rnacentral:lncRNA from 1 species
CUGGAUGACUCUGGAUCAUCCAGGGUCAUCCUCCUCGAGCAGGAAGCCCUCUGUAUCUCCCAUGGCAGCGUCGGCAGCUCUUUGACAGGCUUCUUCCACUUUAUCGAUCAGGCGGCAGAACUGAUCUUCCUUGGAAGGUCGAUCAGUUGCCCGGGGGAGAGGGGCCUUUGCGGAGAACAUGAAAGGGGCACCGGAGGGUAUCAGCAGGGAAAUCAGGUGGAGGGUCUGUGAGGAUAACGAAGAGGUUUGUUAUGGGACUGAGAUGGGGUGAGGGGAGAUAGGGUUUUGAAGGAGCGGUGGGGAACGAAAAGGGUGAGGGGUGAGGGAUUCGGAAUGGAAAGAGUUCAAACGAAGGGUUGCCUUGGGAGAGAAGAAGAUACGAUCGGCUGAGAUUUGAUUUGGCACAUCCGAAGAGAUCGAUGCAGAAUGGGCAACUGCCGGACGCGAGAUGCCAGGAUUCACUGCAGUCUGCACGGCUCCACAGGCCGGAGCGACGGUUUGGGGACUCCGUCGACAGCACGAAGUCUGCGCCUCUACUAUGGUGAUGGGUUAUGAUCAUUCUAAUGGGGGCGGUUAUCAAUCUUGGGUCUUUUCUGAACUUUGAUCCUACAGUAGUAGUGUUGGGGACGGAAGAAUGCAUCGGUAUUCCAGUGUUUUUGUUUGCCAGAGCUGUAUUCGUUGGAGCCAUUCUCGUCGGAAGAGAAAGAGAAUAGGUGAGCAUGACACAGACACCCAUGCAAAUCUUCCUCUGGUUUUGGAUGUCAAGAUAGCAUCAAACCUUUAGCAGCUUUUCGAUGCAGGCCGUGAUCUGAAAGAGGAUUUUGGGGCUCAUUAGUUUGAUCGGAAGCCCAAAAAGUUGGGAGCCGAGGUAGGGGUAAACGUCAUUAGGGGCUCAAAGCGUUCACGCCAUGGGAAUAAGUUGAGCACCUGACUUCUAUCUAAGGAACCAUGGAUUGAAAGAGAAAGCACAAAAGUCCUCCUGCAAGAUCCAUAAUCUGA